UGCUUGACAGUUAUAGGUUAACUACGUUAGUACCAGUGGGAUGUGGUAACAUGCUUUCAUGUUUCAGGGUUAGAAUAUGUUGAGGCUCUGACACAUAAAGAUUUAUAACGCAUGAGAACAUUUAUGUUAAAGUAGACCGCUGAUCACUAGCUAUGCAUAUUGGGUAAAUCUGUAAACAGGUAGAUCUAAGCUAAUGAGUAUCAUGAGUUAUAGUUACAAAUAACACCAGGAUAGUCAUGUUUAUAUAUCGUAUGGUCCUGUUAGGGAGUAGUGUUCAGAGUAGUGAGAGAGAUGGGAAAACAUGACUGGUGUAAUGUUUGCUUUAGCACGACUGUAUGAUAGGUACAUGUUAAGUAAGUCAGUGCCCUCAUUGGUGUUGUUUAAAGAUCCCCUGUUACCCGGGGGAGGGGGGGAAGAUUUCGAAUGGCUUUACCUGAGUGGCUAUAACGUGCCCUUGGUUGCCAGCACUAGUGUGAGUUCUGUCAUAAAAUGUCGGCAUUAAAAUUUUAAACAUAUAUACAUCAUAACUGGUUCGUGAGUCCAGGGGGUGCAGCGGGUGAUGCUGUUUAAAGUACACUGGUCUGGAUACUAGGUAGCUUCAAGACUGCGUCUGGCGUUGGUUACCGCGGUGAUCGCUGUUUCGGCUCUUCUAGGGACGAAUGGGGUCGCUGUUGCGGGAUUCCAAGCGGUGCUGUGUGCCAGCGUGGUUCCGUUCUCCGGUGGAGGAUGAGCGAGCGGGGGAAGUCCCAGGGUCGGUAGCAGUUCAUUUGCCUCCUGUAAGUCCUGGAUGGUAGAGGUCGCAUUCCCGUGGUGGAUUAACAGUGUGCGCGAACCUCUCCAGUGGUAGGUGAUUUUAUGUUGGCGUAGGAGGGCUGUAAAGGGUUGAAGUGUGCGUCUCCACGCCAGGGUGGGCCCCGACAAGUCCGCGUAAAAAGAUAGCUGCAUAUUUUCAAACGGGUACGGUGAUUGGUUCCGCGUAGCCUGCAUUACCGCCACCUUGUCUCCGUGAUUUUGGAAGCAAGCCAGGAGGUCUCGUGGGGCCUUUGGUGGGGCCUUGGCUGCUCGUGGUAGGCGAAAUAAAUUUUCGAUGGGUACCUGUUUGGCUUGCUUGUGAGGUAGAAGUGACUGCAUUAGUCUCCGCAAUGUAUGUGGGAGUUCAGACUCCGGUAUCUCCUCUCCUAUGCCUCGGAUUUUUAUGUUCCGGCAGCGACUCCGAUCCUCUAAGGCUGCUAUACGCUGCUCGUAUGUGGAUUGCUGUGUUUUGAUCUCCUGGACCGUUUGUUGUAGGGCUUGAGUGUGUUGUUUGGUGCACUGGGAGUCUGCCUCCAGUGUGCCCAGCCGGCCCGUUAGGCCUUGUAGGUCCUUGCGUAGUUGGGCCAUGUCGGCCUGUAUGGUUAGUCGGAGAUCUGCUAGGAGGUCUUUCAUGACAGCAACGGUCACUGGUGAGGAGUCUGCUUGCGGGGGUGACUUGCGAGGUGGUAUUUCCUCAUGCGGGUGUUCCAUCUCAGUCUCUGUGGUGAAAUCAUCAGAGAUAUCCGAGCCGUAGUCGUUGUAAGCGGCCAUGUUGGGGCCUUGGGCGCUAAGCGCCUGCUUCCACAUGUCGCCAAUGCUGUGGUGCUGCCGCGGGUUGUCGGGCUUAGAUUUUUUAGUUUUGCGGCCCAUGUCGUUGGUAGAUGCCUGCAGGUCGUUUUGGUACCGGUUUCGUUGGGCUGGGUUCGUGUUAGCUGGUCCAAACUACUUUUUUGCAGCGGAGCUCGCUAGGCAUGCGGCCAUUCAGGUCAGUUGCUUGGCUCCGCCCCC